UCUCAGGCUGUCGUCCUCUAGAGGGAAGCACUUUCUGUUGUCUGAAAGAAAAGAAAGUGCUUCCUUUUAGAGGGUUACCGUUUGAGA
ensembl:miRNA MIR520C microRNA 520c